AUUGAACGCUGGCGGCGUGCCUAAUACAUGCAAGUCGAACGGAGUGGCGCACGGGUGAGUAAUAUAUAGCUAAUCUGCCCCUUGCUGGAGGACAACAGUUAGAAAUGACUGCUAAUACUCCAUAGCAAGGGAUGAGACUAUAUCGUAUCAGCUAGUCGGUGGGGUAACGGCCUACCGAGGCUAUGACGCGUAACGGGUGUGUGAGGAUGAUAAGUCAAAUUGUAACGGAGACACGGUCCAAACACCUUCGGGAGGGAGCAGUAGGGAAUAUUGCGCAAUGGGGGAAACCCUGACGCAGCAACGCCGCGUGGAGGAUGAUACUUUGCGGAGCGUAAACUCCUUCUGUUAGGGAAGCGGUACCGAACGAAUAAGCACCGGCUAACUCCGUGCCAGCCGCCGCGGUAAUAC
rnacentral:rRNA from 1 species